rnacentral:rRNA from 1 species
CCCCUAGAUGUUCUGGGCCGCACGCGCGCUACACUGAACAGUUCAACAAGUCUUAACCUUGGCCGAUAGGUCUGGGUAAUCUUUGAACGCUGUUCGUGAUUGGGAUAGACCUUUGCAAUUAUGGGUCUUCAACGAGGAAUUCCUAGUAAACGCAAGUCAUCAGCUUGCAUUGAUUACGUCCCUGCCCUUUGUACACACCGCCCGUCGCACCUACCGAUUGAAUGGUCCGGUGAAAUCUCGGGACGGCGGCUUGGUCGCUUGCGUCCGACUGCUGAAACUUGAUUAAACCAUAUCAUUUAGAAGAAGGUGAAGUCGUANCA